rnacentral:rRNA from 1 species
AUUGAACGCUGGCGGCAUGCCUUACACAUGCAAGUCGAACGGUAACAGGGAGCUUGCUCCGCUGACGAGUGGCGAACGGGUGAGUAAUGUAUCGGAACGUACCAUUCAGUGGGGAUAACGUAGCGAAAGUUACGCUAAUACCGCAUAUUCUGUGAGCAGGAAAGCAGGGGAUCGCAAGACCUUGCGCUGAUUGAGCGGCCGAUAUCAGAUUAGCUAGUUGGUGAGGUAAAAGCUCACCAAGGCGACGAUCUGUAGCGGGUCUGAGAGGAUGAUCCGCCACACUGGAACUGAGACACGGUCCAGACUCCCACGGGAGGCAGCAGUGGGGAAUUUUGGACAAUGGGGGCAACCCUGAUCCAGCCAUGCCGCGUGAGUGAAGAAGGCCUUCGGGUUGUAAAGCUCUUUCAGCCGGGAAGAAAAUGCAUGGGUUAAUACCCUGUGCAGAUGACGGUACCGGAAUAAGAAGCACCGGCUAACUACGUG